rnacentral:rRNA from 1 species
UGCCAGACUCCUACGGGAGGCAGCAGUGGGGGAUAUUGCACAAUGGGGGAAACCCUGAUGCAGCGACGCCGCGUGGGUGAAGAAGUAUUUCGGUAUGUAAAGCCCUAUCAGCAGGGAAGAAAGAAGACGGUACCUGACUAAGAAGCCCCGGCUAACUACGUGCCAGCAGCCGCGGUAAUACGUAGGGGGCGAGCGUUAUCCGGAUUCACUGGGUGUAAAGGGAGCGUAGACGGCCGUGCAAGCCAGGAGUGAAAGCCCGGGGCCCAACCCCGGGACUGCAUUUGAAACUGCCGUGCUGGAGUGUCGGAGAGGCAAGUGGAAUUCCUAGUGUAGCGGUGAAAUGCGUAGAUAUUAGGAGGAACACCAGUGGCGAAGGCGGCUUGCUGGACGAUAACUGACGCUGAGGCUCGAAAGCGUGGGGAGCAAACAGGAUUAGAUACCCGCGUA